rnacentral:rRNA from 1 species
AGUAACGCGUGGGUAACCUGCCUCAUACAGGGGGAUAACAGUUAGAAAUGACUGCUAAUACCGCAUAAGCGCACAGUGCUGCAUGGCACAGUGUGAAAAACUCCGGUGGUAUGAGAUGGACCCGCGUCUGAUUAGGUAGUUGGUGGGGUAACGGCCUACCAAGCCGACGAUCAGUAGCCGACCUGAGAGGGUGACCGGCCACAUUGGGACUGAGACACGGCCCAG